rfam:Citrus sinensis cultivar Ridge Pineapple sweet orange scaffold00001_contig_152, whole genome shotgun sequence.
AGGGUUUUAAUGGAGCUCUCUGAACUCCAAGUCUGAAAGGAGGUGAUGGUAGGCCACGGCUGCUAGUCCAUGAACACCCGUGGUUGCGCAGACUCAAUACUGUGGCGCAGUCUAAGGGUUUGCAUGAACUGGGAGACGAGGCUACCUUGAUCUUUUUGGUAUUGGAGUGAAGGGAGCUCCAUUCAUGGACAUC